rnacentral:rRNA from 1 species
UGGGUCUCGCUCGUUACCUGACUUAACAGGAUGCUUCACAGUACGAACUGACGACGGCCAUGCACCACCUCUCAGCUAAUCCGGCAAAGUCUUCAGCCUGGCCUUCAUAUUGCUGUCGGUCCCGGUAAGAUUUCCGGCGUUGAAUCCAAUUAAACCGCAAGCUCCACCCGUUGUGGUGCUCCCCCGCCAAUUCCUUUAAGUUUCAGCCUUGCGGCCGUACUUCCCAGGUGGCUCGCUUCACGGCUUCCCUACGGCACCGACAACGGUCGCACCGUGGCCGACACCUAGCGAGUAUCGUUUACGGCUAGGACUACCCGGGUAUCUAAUCCGGUUCGUGCCCCUAGCUUUCGUCCCUUGCCGUCAGGUCCGUUCUGGUGAGACGCCUUCGCCACUGGUGGUCCUUCAAGGAUUACAAGAUUUCACCCCUACCCCUGAAGUACCUCUCACCUCUCCCGGCCUCGAGCCAGACAGUAUCUCCUGAAAGCCUGACAGUUAAGCUGCCAGAUUUCUCAAGAGACUUAUCCGGCCGGCUACAGACCCUUUAGACCCAAUAAUAACGGUUACCACUCGAGCCGCCGGUGUUACCGCGGCGGCUGGCACCGGUCUUGCCCGGCCCUUGCUAUGAAAUGCUUUUUAGGCAUCUCGACAGCCAGAUUUGUAACCUGGCACUCGAGGUUCCCUUAUCGCUGUUGCCAGCAUUGUAAAGUUUUCGCGCCUGCUGCACCCCGUAGGGCCUGGAUUCGUGUCUCAGAAUCCAUCUCCGGGCUCUUGCUCU